AUGUCGGUCGAUGGUGUGAAAACACUUCCUGAUGUCGAAUUCCAAAAACCAGCGAGAGGUUCCCCACUCUUCUUUGAUCCGUCUGAGGGCCGAGUGGCAGCCUCGACCCGAGCGGAAGUGCGAUGUGUCUGGAAACUCGGGAUGGAUAAAGUGGGCAAAACAGACUCACAUUUUUUAAUCGAAAAGAUGGGUUCCUUUUUCGUCUCGACAAAGAAAGAAUCAUCUUGA
rnacentral:rRNA from 1 species